rnacentral:misc_RNA from 1 species
GCAAUAGUGGUGUUUGGAUUGAUACGGGUGGUCGGCUCCCUGCUUGAGCAGGCACGGCCAUGCGUACAUUCCUCUUCAGUUAUCCGGCAGGGCUUGAUCGCCUUGAUCGUAUAUGUGGGUCUCUUGUGUUGCAUACCUGAUCAAUGGCAUCGUCUUGAUCAAAAUAGUCCCUUUUUCGUCAAGCACCGCUCUCGUGAUGUUGGAUGAACCAAGUAGGCACCCUCUUUGAUCCUUCCUGUUGACAGACAGUUGUUGAUGGUUUGGCCCAUUGAGGGAGUUUAGUCUUUGGAUAUGGAAGCCAAAAUGGGCAUGGGUUCGUAUGAUCCUUUUAUUGCCCUCGUUGAGCGUUCUCGCUUCUCUAAAACGACUGCCUUUCACGUAUGGCACGUCCCAGCGUGUUUGGCUACGUGAAGAGGAAUG